CCGCAGCGUCGCCUCGCCAACCUCGUCAGGGCC
rnacentral:SRP_RNA from 15 species